GUAAAUUCAGGCUGUUUAAUUAUAUUGGAUGAUAAUUAAGAGCUGGAUUAUGCUUGUUACUGUUAUGAUAUUGUGUAACAGCAGAUUGGCAGAGUUAACUUACAAAGUUGCAGCGAGCUUCCUAGCCACGCAGCGUGAUUCUGAGCCGUAGAUUUGUCUCGUUCGUAAAUAAAUUUAGUAAAUUUUGAACAUAAAAAAGUUACGGACUGCAGCUUUAAUGUACAAACAAAUUGGCCAUAUCAAAACAUCUUCACAAUAUACAGAACAGGUGCAUGCAAAUACAACAGAAAACGAGAGAACAGAGAGAGGAGAAAAAACUUGAAGGGGGGCUAGGGUUUUUCCUGUAAAUCAUAUACUAUAAUAACAGAAAACAGAUUUAUUGCAUUUUUCUUUUUCAUCAAUUAACGGUCUUUUGUAUACAAAACAAACUCAUUAUGAAAUACAUAAAAGGCUGGUUUAACUUUCAAGUACCUAGAUUGGUGUAUAUACAAUUUUCCCAUCAUAAGGAUGAUAUAUUGACCAGAAAAUCAUCUUUGUUAUUGUUCAUUACAAGUCCAUAGAUAAUGUCCUUAGGGAAAGCUGUCAAGGUAACGUACCUUUGGAUGCAGCCAGUCAAGAAUAUCAGAUAACAGGUCUUGUUAUAGGCUGGAAGAUUUUAUAUAACCAUCAUUUCACACCACACAAUACACCACUAUGGAAUAAUAGGUACAUUACAGAUAGAAAGAAACAAAUCAUUAGUUUCUGUGUUAAAUAUUUAAGUUGCAAUCAGGCUAAAUUUGAAUCUGUUAUUUAAGCUAUCCCUAACUCUGUUAUUUGUCUAAUUAAAGAAACUCUCUUUUAUUCUAACUCCGAUGACCUUGUGUUUACCUCUGUUAAUUGAAGGUUGUGAAUUUAAAAGGUCAACUUUCAAACAAAAUUAUUAGAAAUAUGUUAAACAUCAUUUCUUAUCCUAUCGUAGUCUACAGAAAUUCAAUUUCUUAUAAUUUCUAAAAAGAUACCAUUCAUAUUCUUAGAACUAAAUACAUAAAAUUUCCUUUAUCCCCCAAAAUUAAAGAAAUUAUUAUUCUUUUUUUAAAUGUAAAUGGUAUAGCCUAUAUCCAUCUAGUGAGUACUUAAGACUUAGAUUUGGAUUUGAUUCUAAUAAAUGUAUAUUCUGUGAUGAC
ensembl:lncRNA